CCUGAUGUGGGGGAUAACCAUUGGAAACGAUGGCUAAUACCGCAUGAUGCCUACGGGCCAAAGAGGGGGACCUUCGGGCCUCUCGCGUCAGGAUAUGCCUAGGUGGGAUUAGCUAGUUGGUGAGGUAAGGGCUCACCAAGGCGACGAUCCCUAGCUGGUCUGAGAGGAUGAUCAGCCACACUGGAACUGAGACACGGUCCAGACUCCUACGGGAGGCAGCAGUGGGGAAUAUUGCACAAUGGGCGCAAGCCUGAUGCAGCCAUGCCGCGUGUGUGAAGAAGGCCUUCGGGUUGUAAAGCACUUUCAGUCGUGAGGAAGGUAGUGUAGUUAAUAGCUGCAUUAUUUGACGUUAGCGACAGAAGAAGCACCGGCUAACUCCGUGCCAGCAGCCGCGGUAAUACGGAGGGUGCGAGCGUUAAUCGGAAUUACUGGGCGUAAAGCGCAUGCAGGUGGUUUGUUAAGUCAGAUGUGAAAGCCCGGGGCUCAACCUCGGAAUUGCAUUUGAAACUGGCAGACUAGAGUACUGUAGAGGGGGGUAGAAUUUCAGGUGUAGCGGUGAAAUGCGUAGAGAUCUGAAGGAAUACCGGUGGCGAAGGCGGCCCCCUGGACAGAUACUGACACUCAGAUGCGAAAGCGUGGGGAGCAAACAGGAUUAGAUACCCUGGUAGUCCACGCCGUAAACGAUGUCUACUUGGAGGUUGUGGCCUUGAGCCGUGGCUUUCGGAGCUAACGCGUUAAGUAGACCGCCUGGGGAGUACGGUCGCAAGAUUAAAACUCAAAUGAAUUGACGGGGGCCCGCACAAGCGGUGGAGCAUGUGGUUUAAUUCGAUGCAACGCGAAGAACCUUACCUACUCUUGACAUCCAGAGAACUUUCCAGAGAUGGAUUGGUGCCUUCGGGAACUCUGAGACAGGUGCUGCAUGGCUGUCGUCAGCUCGUGUUGUGAAAUGUUGGGUUAAGUCCCGCAACGAGCGCAACCCUUAUCCUUGUUUGCCAGCGAGUAAUGUCGGGAACUCCAGGGAGACUGCCGGUGAUAAACCGGAGGAAGGUGGGGACGACGUCAAGUCAUCAUGGCCCUUACGAGUAGGGCUACACACGUGCUACAAUGGCGCAUACAGAGGGCAGCCAACUUGCGAAAGUGAGCGAAUCCCAAAAAGUGCGUCGUAGUCCGGAUUGGAGUCUGCAACUCGACUCCAUGAAGUCGGAAUCGCUAGUAAUCGUGGAUCAGAAUGCCACGGUGAAUACGUUCCCGGGCCUUGUACACACCGCCCGUCACACCAUGGGAGUGGGCUGCAAAAGAAGUAGGUAGUUUAACCUUCGGGGGG
rnacentral:rRNA from 1 species